rnacentral:rRNA from 2 species
CCGGAGUGGACGCAUCACUGGUGUUCGGGUUGUCAUGCCAAUGGCACUGCCCGGUAGCUAAAUGCGGAAGAGAUAAGUGCUGAAAGCAUCUAAGCACGAAACUUGCCCCGAGAUGAGUUCUCCCUGAGACUUUAAGUCUCCUGAAGGAACGUUGAAGACGACGACGUUGAUAGGCCGGGUGUGUAAGCGCAGCGAUGCGUUGAGCUAACCGGUACUAAUGAACCGUGAGGCUUAACCUUACAACGCCGAAGCUGUU